UCAAGUUAUUAAGGGUGCAGGGCGGAUGCCUUGGCACUAGGAGCCGAUGAAGGACGUGAUAAGCUGCGAUAAGCUUCGGGGAGUUGCACGUAAACUUUGAUCCGAAGAUUUCCGAAUGAGGAAACUCACUUAGAGUAAUGUCUAAGUAUCGUUAAGUGAAUACAUAGCUUAGCGAGGGGAACCCGGGGAACUGAAACAUCUAAGUACCCGGAGGAAGAGAAAGAAAUUCGAUUCCGUAAGUAGCGGCGAGCGAACGCGGAACAGGCCAAACCAAUGAAGUUUACUUCGUUGGGGUUGCGGACAUACAACAUGGAUGCAAUAUCGUAAAUGAAGAGAGUUGGAAAGCUCCGCCAUAGAAGGUAAUAGCCCUGUAGUUGAAACGAGAAAGCUACUAGUAUGAUCCAGAGUACCACGGGACACGUGAAACCCUGUGGGAAGCAGGAGGGACCAUCCUCCAAGCCUAAAUACUACCUAGUGACCGAUAGCGCAUAGUACCGUGAGGGAAAGGUGAAAAGAACCCCGGGAGGGGAGUGAAAUAGAACCUGAAACCCUGCACUUACAAGCUGUGGGAGCACAUUACUUGUGUGACCGCGUACUUUUUGUAGAACGGGCCAACGAGUUACGUUAAGUAGCAAGGUUAAGCACUUAAGGUGUGGAGCCGUAGCGAAAGCGAGUCUUAAAUGGGCGAUUAAGUUACUUGGCGUAGACCCGAAACCGGGCGACCUAUCCAUGAGCAGGUUGAAGCGAAAGUAAAAUUUCGUGGAGGACCGAACCCACGAGCGUUGAAAAGCUCGGGGAUGACUUGUGGAUAGCGGUGAAAUUCCAAUCGAGCCCGGAGAUAGCUGGUUCUCCCCGAAAUAGCUUUAGGGCUAGCCUCAAGCGUAGAGAAACGGAGGUAGAGCACUGAAUGUCCUAGGGGGUAUUGCACUUACCGAAGACUAUCAAACUCCGAAUGCCGUUUUCUUUUACUUGGGAGUCAGACUGUGGGUGAUAAGAUUCAUAGUCAAAAGGGCAACAGCCCAGAUCGUCAGCUAAGGUCCCUAAAUGUACGUUAAGUGGUAAAGGAUGUGGGAUUGCACAGACAACCAGGAUGUUGGCUUAGAAGCAGCCACUCAUUUAAAGAGUGCGUAAUAGCUCACUGGUCGAGUGAUCCUGCGCCGAAAAUUUCCGGGGCUAAAACGUACUACCGAAGCUACGGCAUCAUUUAUGAUGGGUAGGGGAGCUUCGUAUGCAGGCUGAAGCAUGACCGUAAGGACAUGUGGACAGUAUACGAGUGAGAAUGUUGGCAUGAGUAGCGAGACGUGGGUGAGAAUCCCACGGGCCGUAAACCCAAGGUUUCCAGGGGAAGGUUCGUCCGCCCUGGGUUAGUCGGGACCUAAGCCGAGGCCGAAAGGCGUAGGUGAUGGACAACAGGUUGAUAUUCCUGUACCGCCAAUAAGCGUUUGAGAGAUGGAGUGACACAGUAGGAUAAGCUAACCGUACUGUUGGUUAUGUACGGCUAAGCAUUGAGGCAGUCUAAAUAGGCAAAUCCGUUUAGACAAUGCUAGGAUGUGAUGGGGAAGCCCUUCGGGGCGAAGUAGCUGAUUUCACACUGUCAAGAAAAGCUUCUAUCGAGUUUAAAGGCGCCCGUACCGUAAACCGACACAGGUGGGUGAGGAGAGUAUCCUAAGGCCAGCGAGAGAACUAUUGUUAAGGAACUCGGCAAAAUGACCCCGUAACUUAGGGAGAAGGGGUGCCUGUCUAUGACAGGCCGCAGAGAAUAGGCCCAAGCGACUGUUUACCAAAAACACAGGUUUCUGCUAAGUCGCAAGACGAUGUAUAGGAGCUGACGCCUGCCCGGUGCUGGAAGGUUAAGGGGAUCUGUUAGAGCAAUCGAAGCAGUGAACUUAAGCCCCAGUAAACGGCGGCCGUAACUAUAACGGUCCUAAGGUAGCGAAAUUCCUUGUCGGGUAAG
rnacentral:rRNA from 1 species